rnacentral:rRNA from 1 species
AUUGAACGCUGGCGGCAGGCCUAACACAUGCAAGUCGAGCGGAUGAAGGGAGCUUACUCCUGGAUUCAGCGGCGGACGGGUGAGUAAUGCCUAGGAAUCUGCCUGGUAGUGGGGGAUAACGUCCGGAAACGGGCGCUAAUACCGCAUACGUCCUGAGGGAGAAAGUGGGGGAUCUUCGGACCUCACGCUAUCAGAUGAGCCUAGGUCGGAUUAGCUAGUUGGUGGGGUAAAGGCCUACCAAGGCGACGAUCCGUAGCUGGUCUGAGAGGAUGAUCAGUCACACUGGAACUGAGACACGGUCCAGACUCCUACGGGAGGCAGCAGUGGGGAAUAUUGGACAAUGGGCGAAAGCCUGAUCCAGCCAUGCCGCGUGUGUGAAGAAGGUCUUCGGAUUGUAAAGCACUUUAAGUUGGGAGGAAGGGCAGUAAGUUAAUACCUUGCUGUUUUGACGUUACCAACAGAAUAAGCACCGGCUAACUUCGUG